rnacentral:lncRNA from 1 species
CGCGCGGGACAUAUGGUGCCGAAACCCGGGAACAUGUGAACAUCUCUGGCACCGCGGAGACCCCUUGGCUACAAGGCGGAUUCAGAACUGCAGGGUGGUAAAUUCGGAGAGGAUGAAGAAAAUCCUCUGUGGAUCCCAGAAAGACUCACCCGAAGAGCCUCUUCGGACCUUCAAAAGUCGGAACUCCACCCUCUCCCCGGGAGCUGAGAGCCGCUAUUGUUAUCCAGAUUAACUCCUGUCCUUGGCGGAGAGAUGGCCACUGCUUAAGGGGUGGGGGUGGGAUUGUUUGAUGCAGCCUUUUGCGGAUUGCUGUUACCUCUGGCUGAUCUAUGAGAAAGAGGUGGGGGUGGAAUUGUUUGAUGCAGCCGUUUGCGGAUUGAUGUUACUUUUGGCUGGCAUGUAAGCUCCAGGGCUCAAACCAAGAGACCGCCCAAGCGCUUAUAUUUUGGCUAACUAUGCUUAAGCAAUAGGCCGCCGGCCAGACAGCUCUUGCACACCCGGAGCCUAGGCUCAUUGCACAGGGUAGAGUGUCUGGUUUGGGCAGCCCAAUGAGGGAUGCUGAGCAAAGGCAUCGCACAGAGUUGCCUAUUAUGCAG